AUGAUUGUUCAUAAAUCCACUUAGAAAUCAGGGAAAAAUGUUGCUCCUUCUAACUCUAGAACUUGCCUCAGACUCAUGUUUUUGUCAAAUGACCAACAUCUGCGACCAAUCAACAUUUUACAGCAGUUUUUAUUUUGAACAUACUUUCAUAUACAAACCAGUGACUGAGAAAAUGGCUCAUUGGAAGCUGUACUCUACAUGUACAACAUCUUGAUAUAUUCUUUUUUACAUUUUUUAUUA